CACCAUCUGUUAUACUAUGGGAGCUAGCCAUGCCCGAAGUCGUUACCUUAACCGCAAUGAGGGGGAUGCCGAAGGCUGGGCUAGUGACUGGAGUGAAGUCGUAACAAGGUAGUCAUACUGGAAGGUGCGGCUG
rnacentral:ncRNA from 1 species